rnacentral:rRNA from 1 species
UACGUAGGGCGCAAGCGUUAUCCGGAAUUAUUGGGCGUAAAGAGCUCGUAGGCGGUUUGUCGCGUCUGCCGUGAAAGUCCGGGGCUCAACUCCGGAUCUGCGGUGGGUACGGGCAGACUAGAGUGAUGUAGGGGAGACUGGAAUUCCUGGUGUAGCGGUGGAAUGCGCAGAUAUCAGGAGGAACACCGGUGGCGAAGGCGGGUCUCUGGGCUGUAACUGACGCUGAGGAGCGAAAGCGUGGGUAGCGAACAGG